UUUUUCUUCUUCUACGUUAAUACUGCCCCCUGUCGGAUUACGCUACAUGUAAGCGUGACGCCAUCAGCUAAAGGGUCACUAAAUUCGCUUCAGAGAGGAGAAAUGCAGCUGGGAUGUGCUGAGUGGAGCAGACAGCCCGGCCGAGGAAAGAGCUCUGAAUCUAAAGGACGAGCUGCCUUCAGCCGUAACCGAAGCUGUGAGGAGGAGAUCAAGAGGGUUCCAGACAGCACCGUACAGCAGAAAGAGAAUCAGACAGAUGGAGGAAGAAGAGCAGAGAGGAAGCAGGAGGAGGAUGAAGGAGGAGGAAGAG